rnacentral:rRNA from 1 species
GACAGAGGAUGCAAGCGUUAUCCGGAAUGAUUGGGCGUAAAGCGUCUGUAGGUGGCUUUUCAAGUCCGCCGUCAAAUACCAGGGCUCAACCCUGGACAAGCGGUGGAAACUACCAAGCUGGAGUACGGUAGGGGCAGAGGGAAUUUCCGGUGGAGCGGUGAAAUGCAAUGAGAUCAGAUCAAACACCAACGGCGAAAGCACUCUGCUGGGCCGACACUGACACUGAGAGACGAAAGCUAGGGGAGCAAAUGGG